rnacentral:lncRNA from 1 species
CGUGCUUCCUUCAGCUUUGUCAAAUAAGAACAUAGGCCAAAAGAAAGGGAUGAGAUUAGCUAAUAGGCAGAGGUGCAUCAUAUAGAUAGCUUUGAUCACCCAGCUUAUGGUAACUAAGAUAUGCAGUAUUUAGAUUACGUAGAGCAUGUACCAGCGUGUCGAAAAUUACCUCAUCAUCUAAGCUGCUCUUCAUGGUGGGUGUGUUGCGGCGGGUUGUGAUUGGCAAAAGCAGAAAUGUCUUCCAUAGACAUCAUCCACCAGCUGCUCCUCAAAUAGUCUAUGAUUCCAUCUUUUUCUUUCAGCUCGUGUUCCAGAGAAUUACUUUUUGUUCAACCAACUACAACUUAUCAUAAUUGAUGUCUUGCAGCACUUUGUUGUAAGAGACUUCCAUGUAUUUAAGAGGUUCGUCUGCCAGCCAAUCUUCAGCCUCGGGCAGUUUCAUAGACAUAGAUGGAUAUUAAUGUCUUUGCAAGUUCAUUAUUUAGCUGGUACUCAAUGGAUAGAAUUAAACACUUGCCUCGAGGUCCUUGCCUUGUGUGUUGAGUUAGCUGCGCUUGGAAGGCCAAGCGCUAUCUCAUCGUAGCAUCCGGAAGCACUUUUGUUGGAAUAUUACGUUUUCCAUCACGGCGGA